AUAUAUAUAUAUAAUAAUAAUACAUAAUUAAUAAUAGUAUAUUUUAAAAAUUAAUUAUUUGUAUAUG
rnacentral:tRNA from 1 species